GACGAACGCUGGCGGCGUGCCUAACACAUGCAAGUCGAACGGAAAGGCCCUGCUUUUGGGGGGUGCUCGAGUGGCGAACGGGUGAGUAACACGUGAGUAACCUGCCCUUGACUUUGGGAUAACUUCAGGAAACUGGGGCUAAUACCGGAUAGGAGCUCCUGCUGCAUGGUGGGGGUUGGAAAGUUUCGGCGGUUGGGGAUGGACUCGCGGCUUAUCAGCUUGUUGGUGGGGUAGUGGCUUACCAAGGCUUUGACGGGUAGCCGGCCUGAGAGGGUGACCGGCCACAUUGGGACUGAGAUACGGCCCAGACUCCUACGGGAGGCAGCAGUGGGGAAUAUUGCACAAUGGGCGGAAGCCUGAUGCAGCAACGCCGCGUGCGGGAUGACGGCCUUCGGGUUGUAAACCGCUUUCGCCUGUGACGAAGCGUGAGUGACGGUAAUGGGUAAAGAAGCACCGGCUAACUACGUG
rnacentral:rRNA from 1 species